UUGGGAAUCUUCGGCAAUGGGGGAAACCCUGACCGAGCAACGCCGCGUGAGGGAUGAAGGCCUUCGGGGUGUAAACCUCUGUCUAGAGGGACGAUAAUGACGGUACCAUUGGAGGAAGCCACGGCUAACUACGUGCCAGCCGCCGCGGUGAUACGUAGGAUGCGAGCGUUGUCCGGAACUAUUGGGCGUAAAGGGCGCGCAGGAGGUCUUGUAAGUAAGAUGUGCAAACGCAGGGCUUAACUAGUAGAG
rnacentral:rRNA from 1 species